rnacentral:snRNA from 1 species
UGCUGCUGUGGGACCCUCUCCAAUUACUUGAACCUCGCCUUUUACUAGAUUCAACCGGGUUGGUCCCACACUUAUAGCAGCAUGACCGACUUUUUCCCGCUGGUUACCUAAUGGGUAACA